rnacentral:rRNA from 1 species
UACGUAUGGUGCAAGCGUUAUCCGGAUUUACUGGGUGUAAAGGGAGCGCAGGCGGCGCGGCAAGUCCGUUGUGAAAACCCCCGGCUCAACCGGGGGACUGCAUUGGAAACUACCGGGCUGGAGUGCCGGGGAGGUAGGCGGAAUUCCUGGUGUAGCGGUGAAAUGCGUAGAUAUCAGGAGGAACACCAGUGGCGAAGGCGGCCUACUGGACGGUGACUGACGCUGAGGCUCGAAAGCGUGGGGAGCAAACAGG